rnacentral:lncRNA from 1 species
GGCAUUGUCUCCCUCAAUCCGUGCAAUGGCUACUGCUAUAGGUUUCAGGAGUUUCAGGCUGCUUACCACUCUCUCCCAAAAUACAUCAUCCAGGAGGAUCCUCUUGAUGGGUCUUGUCCAUAUCGGCAGGCUGUGAUAUGGCCAUUUCUUGGAGAGACUCCUUCCCCUCCAGGAGACUGUCAGACAUGAUGACAACACCACCCCAACGGGUGUUGCUGGCCAGCUUCAAUGUGGUGCUCUCAUUCUUCUCACUUUGCUUGGUGAGGUAGAUUGCUGCUAUAACUUGAUGACCCUUCACAUACCUAACCAUUUCCAUUGGCUCUCUUGUAGAGUGUAUCCAUUGUUUUCAGUGCCAUGAUGUCCUUAAGGAGCAGAUUCAAUGCAUGAGCAGCACAGCCAAUGGGUGUGAUGUGAGGGUUGGACUCCUCCACUUUAGACCAAGCAGCCUUCAUGUUCGCAGCAUUGUCUGUCACCAGUGCAAAUACCUUCUGUGGUCCGAGGUCAUUGAUGACUGCCUUCAGCUCAUCUGCAAUGUAGAGACCGGUGUGUCUGUUGUCCCUUGUGUCUGUGCUCUUGUAGAAUACUGGUUGAGGGGUGGACAUGAUGUAGUUAAUUAUUCAUUGCCCACAAACAUUUGACCCCCCCCAUCAGAGAUGAUUGCAAUACAGUCUGCUUUCUCCAUGAUUUGCUUGACCUUCAUUGACCAGCAAAUGUUGCUAUCGAUAAGGUGUCUGAUUCAUCAUUGUCACCUCCAAUAGAAGUAGAGGGACUUUUGUCAGAGGUUGCUUGUUGUGAGCGCUGAGGGAACUUUAUGCACUUGGCCAGAUUAUUAUGCAUCUUUGUUGCAUUCUUCACAUAUGAUUUGGCACAGUAUUUGCAAAUGUACACAGCUUUUCCUUCUAGAUUAGCUGCAGUGAAAUGUCUCCACACAUCAGGUAGUGCCCGUGGCAUUUUCCUGUAAAGAUUAGGGGAGAAAAUGAGUAAAAAAAAACACAAAAACAAUUCCAUGUACAGAUAAAUAGUUAAGCAGUUAGAUUAAACAACUCCUUUGUUAAGAUAAAUGUUUUAAAAUGAAACAUGUAUGGAAACAGGUGAAUUAACACUCCUCAGUAAAAACCUCUUAUGGAUCCCUUAAGAGCGAAUCCCGUUAGCGUGAUUGAUUUGACAACAUCCAGUGAAAUUGUAGCGCGCCAAAUUCAAAC